AUGCUCACUUCAGCAGCACAUUAUAAAAUUUGGCAAGGUCAGAGGAGAUUAGCAUUGCCCCAGUACAAGGAUGACACCCAAAAUUAAAUUCUGGUAUCUAAUAAGU
ensembl:snRNA U6 U6 spliceosomal RNA